rnacentral:hammerhead_ribozyme from 1 species
AUCCAGCUGACGAGUCCCGAAUAGGACGAAACGCGCGUCCCGGAG